UACGAAGGGGGCUAGCGUUGCUCGGAAUCACUGGGCGUAAAGGGUGCGUAGGCGGGUCUUUAAGUCAGGGGUGAAAUCCUGGAGCUCAACUCCAGAACUGCCUUUGAUACUGAAGAUCUUGAGUUCGGGAGAGGUGAGUGGAACUGCGAGUGUAGAGGUGAAAUUCGUAGAUAUUCGCAAGAACACCAGUGGCGAAGGCGGCUCACUGGCCCGAUACUGACGCUGGGGCGCGAAAGCUAGGGGAGCGAACGGG
rnacentral:rRNA from 1 species